rnacentral:rRNA from 1 species
AUGCCGUCGUUAUCGCCGCCGGCUCCCAGGAGCCGGAACCGAGGGAAAGAGUCCAAGAGGGUUUCCGAGAGGAGCUGGGCGGAGCUGCCCCUGGACGCGUUGCUCUGCGUCUUCCACAAACUGGACCGCGCCGACCUUAUGUUCGGGGGCCCGUCCAUGGCGUGCCGCUCCUCGCGCCAAGCGGCACGCCAGCCCGAGCUGUGGCGCUAUGUCGACAUGCGCGGCCACUCCAGGCUCAACAGGACGGCGCGGCUCUUCGCCAUCCCGUUGAGCGCGGGCCAGUGCCAGUGGUUCUUGGGCGAUCACUACGUGGACGACGACCUGCUCCUUUACCUCGCACAGCAGUAA